GGCCGCCUGGCGAAAUGGCAUCGCGUCUGACUACGAUGACUCACAGGGGUCUAACCUCGAGUUUCAAAUCAGGAGAUUGCAGGUUCGACCCCUGCGGUGGUCA
rnacentral:tRNA from 1 species